CAUCCUACGGGGCGCAGCAGUGAGGAAUAUUGGUCAAUGGACGAGAGUCUGAACCAGCCAAGUAGCGUGAAGGAUGACUGCCCUAUGGGUUGUAAACUUCUUUUAUAUGGGAAUAAAAUGUUCCACGUGUGGGAUUUUGUAUGUACCAUAUGAAUAAGGAUCGGCUAACUCCGUGCCAGCAGCCGCGGUAAUACGGAGGAUCCGAGCGUUAUCCGGAUUUAUUGGGUUUAAAGGGUGCGUAGGCGGGCUGUUAAGUCAGCGGUCAAAUGUCGGGGCUCAACCCCGGCCUGCCGUUGAAACUGGCG
rnacentral:rRNA from 1 species